GUCUUGAUGGAUGAGUGGAAAAGCGGUUGGUAUCAGAACCGAGGGGCCCCGGGUUCGAAUCCUGGUGAGGACU
rnacentral:tRNA from 1 species